GACGAACGCUGGCGGCGUGCUUAACACAUGCAAGUCGAACGGUGACGGAGGAGCUUGCUUCUCUUGAUCAGUGGCGAACGGGUGAGUAACACGUGAGUAACCUGCCCUUGACUCUGGGAUAAGCGUUGGAAACGACGUCUAAUACCGGAUACGAGACGCGAUCGCAUGGUCUGCGUCUGGAAAGUUUUUCGGUCAAGGAUGGACUCGCGGCCUAUCAGCUUGUUGGUGAGGUAAUGGCUCACCAAGGCGUCGACGGGUAGCCGGCCUGAGAGGGCGACCGGCCACACUGGGACUGAGACACGGCCCAGACUCCUACGGGAGGCAGCAGUGGGGAAUAUUGCGCAAUGGGCGAAAGCCUGAUGCAGCGACGCCGCGUGAGGGAUGAAGGCCUUCGGGUUGUAAACCUCUUUCAGUAGGGAAGAAGCGAAAGUGACGGUACCUGCAGAAGAAGCACCGG
rnacentral:rRNA from 1 species